CUCAGGACUUUCUGUGUUUUUGCUGGGGCUCAAAGGUAUGAGUCUAUUUUUACUGUUGUAUAGAUAUCUGUUAUUUGCUACUUCUAUAGUAUAGAAUUUAAUAUGGAGGGGGUGCAGAAGGCAUCACCGCUCCUACUUGUUAUAAUUGUGGAAAACCUGGGCACAUUCAAAGGGAUUGCAAGAAAUCCAAAAGCUCAGGACAAAAAUGUUUACCGGGCAUAUAUCCUCGGUGCAAAAGGGAAAAACAUUGGAGUAGUGAGUGUAAAUCAAAAUAUUAUAAAAAUGGCUCUCCUCUCACUAAAGAAGGAGAGGAAGAACCUAAAGAGCCAAAAAACUAGAACAGGGAUGUUCUAAUCACCUCGGGACGAGGGUAUGCUUAUGUGUUUCCACAGAAUGCUGACUCCCCAUUUGGAUCCCAGAUCGCCUCAUCCGACCUGCUGUUGCAAAACAGAAGAAGGAAAAGACGGUGGCGGAAGCAGAUGUGUCUGUCUGUCAUUUCCCUUGCAUCGUAUCCUGACUAUCCUAUCCUUCACCUUGGUCCCCCGUGGGUGGUGGUCUCCGAGAGGGACGGUCCGCGGCACCUCUCAACUCAAGAACAAAUGCAGAGGACCAGUCAGACACAGGACACAGUGGGCCCAGAGUCAUAGCACAAACAGGAGGGUCCCACCUCAGCUCAUACCACGGAGCUUCUCCCUGGACCUGGCUCCUGUGCUGACCUAGAAGCACAGUGACAAGGACCCUCUGCUUAGCCCUAUAGUAGUAAGGCUCCGGAACCUUCUAGGUCAAGCCUACUCUUCCUUGUAAAACUCAGCCUUGGCAAGGAACUGCUGUCUCCCUAGCCGAAGCCUAGAAACCAUCUUCAGGCUCUGAUCCGGUGACUCAGUCUCUAUCACUGCCUGAGAACUGUCCAAUGACUGUCCUGUCUGCUGCCAGAUAGUGUCAGACGGGUUGAGUCAGGAACCGUUUACACCAAUGUUCCCUCUAAAAGUAUAAUCUUAAUUAGUAAAAAAAAUGCAGCAGUUGGUAGGAAAAAAAAAAAAACAGACAAACUUGUUGUUAUAGUGAAAUAGUGGGGAAAAAAACCAGAGACUCCUAAAUAAUAAACAAGAACACAUGACUGGCUGUGUAACCCCAGUCAGCUUCCUAAAGCUCUUGGUCUUGGGUUUACUUCUUUGGCCUCGUUCACAAACUUACUCUAUCUGAAAUCUUACUUUUCUUCAUAUCAUGAAGUUCUGCUUUAGAUAAAUCUGGUAAGCUAUAAUUUUUUUAGGUUGUUUUGGCAAUUGAUGCUCAGUGUGGAUAAUGACUCAAAUUCUAGACGUAUUUCUCAUUAGAAAUACGCUCACAUCUAUAAUGUUUGAAGAUUCUAAUGGACAGGUUCAUGAAGAAGCCAGUGUGGUUUAAUAUUUAAGUGCCAUUUCUGUGCUGGUAACAAACCCAACCUUGGUGUUCUGUGCUCCAACGGCUCCGAACACGAAAGUCUGGGAUAUCCCAUCUCUUGCUUCCUGAACUUCAGUGUCCUGUGCACCUUGUCUCCAGCUUUCGCAUUUCAGCGUUAGAAGGCAUGUCUUUAAAGAGGCCCCACUGUGUAUACAAGGAAUGCAAUAUGCUGAGCUCAUAGCAGCAGGAUGGUGGCUGCCAAGGGUGGCGGGAAAGGCAGGUGAUAGUCAAAAGAUACAACCCUCCAAGUGAGCAGAAUUCCAUGAUAUAAACGCUGAGAGACAGUGAUGGGAGGAGAGAGACUUCAGCCAACAACUGAAACAAUCAGAACUGAGACGACAGAAAUGCUCUAAAUUUGGAUCAUGGGGGUUAAACCUCCGUGCAUUAGAAAAAUAAAACAGACGCCUAUGUGGAUGGAUCUUAAGGCAUAUAAAGUAUACCUCAUUAAAGUUGUUUUCUAAAUAAAGCUUUCUGCUUCCAAAGGAGAAAGAAAAACAAACUAACAUCAUUUUUAAGCUUAUUUUUGGCUAUUUAUUUUAAAUUUGUGGAUUUUCUCUGUUGGCAGAUUGCACUUUGCUACUCGAGGUACUUACAGUUCAGAGCUGCAGAGGGACCAUUAUCUUCAUAGCAGGCUUCCAGCACCUCUUCACUGGCCUCCUGCCACACCUGCCUGGCUGAUGUCUCCCUGCCUCAACCUACCUCUGGGAACCAUCCAGGAUCCAAGCUGCCAAGUCCGGUUCAUCUAGCACGUUCUGCUGCAGCUGCGAAGCCUUCAACUACCUCCUAGUAUCUAGAGAUACAGUUUAAUUGCCCAGGUAGAUGCUAUGUACCUCAGAACAAGACUUUGAACAGUCCUGCAACCUCAACUCCUCACUGCUAAGGAGAAAAGUCCACCCACUGUCCAAAGCACAGGGAGCACCGUUUGCUGUCCACCUACUAUUCCUGGGGGCAGGAGAAUGGAGACCGAGCCCAACAGAUCCAGAGGGGUGACAAGGGAGAACCUGACGAUCUAGAGUCACUAAACUCCUUUAAUAAUCCCCACUAUCUGUGAAUAUAGCAAAAGUCACUUUCUGUCCCAAUCCUUGGGGAUUGUUUACAUGUUAUAUAUGCAGUUUUCAUUACUGUUAUCCCACAAGCCAGAAAGAAAAAAAUCCACGUCUCACUCACUGUUAGUUAUUGCACAUUUCUGCGCUCUGAUCUUUGGGAAAGAGUGAUACGCUACUAUAACUUAUCUUCUUUUACAGCUGCUAGCAGUCCGCCAUCCUAAUACUCAAUAUUUAAUACCUGUGGCUUACUUAAUAAGCCACAAGAGGUCAACUACAUUUCUUCCUAACAGAAAUAAAAUGCUCAAAUUUUUCUAUAA